UACAGAGGUCUCAAGCGUUGUUCGGAUUCAUUGGGCGUAAAGGGUGCGUAGGCGGCGCGGUAAGUCGGGUGUGAAAUCUUGGAGCUUAACUCCGAAACUGCAUUCGAUACUGCCGUGCUUGAGGACUGGAGAGGAGACUGGAAUUUACGGUGUAGCAGUGAAAUGCGUAGAUAUCGUAAGGAAGACCAGUGGCGAAGGCGGGUCUCUGGACAGUUCCUGACGCUGAGACACGAAGGCCAGGGGAGCAAACGGG
rnacentral:rRNA from 1 species